GCUUGCAGUGAGCCGAGAUCGCGCCACUGCACUCCAGCCUGGGCGACAGAGCAAGACUCCGUCUCAAAAAAAAAAAAAAAAAAGGCAGCAAAGCAGAGCUUGGGAAAGGUGAGAGCUACGCAAUGGGGUGGAUGGGCAUCCUGAGGCUUAAAGGAAACUCACAGGCCGGCAAAGGGCCCCUCCCUUUUGCCCAUUCACCCUGGCUGGCCUGCCUUUCUCUUGCCAGAUGAAGUUGGGAAGGGUAACAACCACUGCGUCCCCUGCAAGGCCGGGCACUUCCAGAAUACCUCCUCCCCCAGCGCCCGCUGCCAGCCCCACACCAGGUGUGAGAACCAAGGUCUGGUGGAGGCAGCUCCAGGCACUGCCCAGUCCGACACAACCUGCAAAAAUCCAUUAGAGCCACUGCCCCCAGAGAUGUCAGGUGAGGGACCAGGGCUGAGGGACACGGGGGGGGCGCCUCUGAAAAUGCCUUAAUGCUCCACAUCUUAAAAAAAAUGGGGAAAAGAUGAACACUUCCCUCCCAGAAUUGGGCAAGAAGAAAGUUCCUUACAGAAAAAAUUGGAGUAUCUCUAGGCUAGUUUACACACACACACACACACACACACACACACACUUUUAAAAUUAUAUAUACUGUAAUACUAUGUCAAGGAACACAUCCCACACUGAGAUGUAAUGAUAACUACUAUUGUCAUCAUUUUGGGCUUACCAACAUUACACAAUCCGUUUUUUUUUUUCACACAAUCCAUUAACUAGACCAAACACCUCUUUAUUAGACUAUAUACUUUUAUUAUUAGACAGAAGAUUCCCAUUUGACUCUUUCUUGACUGUUUCCUGUGGACUGAUUGGCUUGCUAGCCUAGUAGAUGACUAUUGUUUCUAAUGACUGUAACAUCACUAAUUGGCAGAAGGUUCACUGUGUGUGUUGGGCACUCUGUAACCACUUUACAUUUACUAACUCAUUUAAUCUUCUUAAUGAUGCUAUGAAGUAGAUUCUAUUAUCAUCCUCAUGGACUGAAGGAAGAAACCGAGGCUCAAAGAGGUUAAGUGAUAUACUCAAGAUCACCCACACAGGUGGUCACUGGUGUUAUUAGAACCUGUACUCAGGUUUUCUUACUCCAGAGCCCAUGUCAUAAUGCAUGCACUAUAGAAAAUUAGAGACUUCAGAUAAGCAAAACUAAAAACUCACCCACAGAGCCACUACCUAGAAUAUCCACUCGUUACAUUGUGGUAUAUAUCCUCCCGGACAUUUUCUAUGCAUGUUUAUACAUACUGGGUUUUGUUGUUGUUUACUAAAAGUGAAGUAAUUUUAAUAUUUCGUAACCUGAUUUUUUCAUUCCACAAUCUAAGUAUUUUUCUGUGCCCUGUUAAUUUUUAACUAUGUAUCAAAUACAACUGGCAUUUUAGAGCUGGAAUUUUAGAGAGUAUGUAAGCUAACCUCAUCCUAUAUAUGAAAAACUGAUGCCCAAAGAAGUGAAAUGACUUAAAAGUCACACAGCCGGGCAGGAAACCGUGGCCCAGACUCCCAGUCCAGUUUCUCCCCAGGCCUCCCAUCCC
rnacentral:lncRNA from 1 species